AUCGCUUCUCAGCCUUUUGGCUAAGAUCAAGUGUAAAAGCAACCUAGGGAAUAAAUGUUCAAAAAUAAAACGGAAAUUUUAAUGGAGCCAAUUUUGUAUUUACAUUUAUAAACCACCACGCAAAGUUGAAAUGUACGGCCUUACUAGGAAAAUAAUAAGCAGUGCUUAUCCUUC
ensembl:snRNA LOC120099532 U2 spliceosomal RNA